ACGAACGUCUUUGUCUGAAACUUCAUUAUGUGGCAUGUGACUGUGUUCUCUCAAUCUCACUUGCCUCUUUCCUCUACAGGACAAAGGGACCCUAGUUGGUGAGAAAGUGACAUUUACUGGACAAUAUUUUGUAUAGUAGCUCCUGCUUCAUAGCACAAACGUCUUGCCCGGAAAACUAUUCAGCAAACCUCAAAGAAUAGCAGUACCUUACCCUGCCAAGUUUGACUGUUAAACUAAAGAUCCUUCCGACACUAAGGUACUGGCGCCUAUGGGAUCCCUUUAAACACUUAAGCCUGGACAACUCAGGAGUGUGUCCGCCAUUGACUGCUGAACCAAUGGAGGAAGACAGCAUGAUUCUUUCAAGAUGUUGACAUCCUUUUUCUUCUUCAUCACAAUGGAAUAUGGUCAAGAAUCUAAAUUAAUGGAAAAUGACAUGGGAAGCUUCAGAAUACAAGUAUAAAUCUACUGGCUCUAAAAAUAUGCUAUUUUGGAUCCAAAUGGCAUAUUCUAUCCUUUCAGCAAUUUGAGCUGAUUCUUUGUAUGAAGAUUGCUUCGACUGUGAUCUGUGGGUGCAAGUGAAAAGAAUUGCACAGCACGGGCCUAUCGUCACCUGGAUAAGGACCGAUAAUCGUUUGCCAGGCAUUGCUAAUAUUGCCUGACAAGCAGCUCCAGCUGUCAGGCCCACAGUCCUAGCAAAACUCACAGAUCAAAGGGGAUCGUGCCAUGUCUCCUGGCUCCAUGCCAGGUUCUGCUGAAUGAUUCCCUCUCUACCUAUGGAUGGGCCGGGUGUAUCAGGUAAAAUUUGAAAGCAUUUGUUUUAGUCUUGCUGCUUGAGGUUAGCUCCAUUUCAUGUUUACUAAGCAGCAGAUGUUGAGGGCUGUCCAAAUGUGCUUCACAUUCAAGAGAACUGCACUGUGGUAAACAUCUCUCCAAUGUUGGAAGUCUAGCUCUUGCUCCAGGUCCAGUUUCUUAUUCCCCAGAGAAACAGUAUCUGUAGUAAACAUAUCGUGAAUGGGUAUAGACCUGGAGUUACCUGGAGUGCUCAGGUCCUCUAAAUAGUGGAGUCCUGUGGUGAAAAGCUAUAGUUUAAUUUGGAGUGAGUUAGGAAUUCUAUAAAUAGUAAAACAGUGCUUUAAACAAAUUGUCUCUUUCCCCGUCAAUUGCCUGAGAUUCUACUCCCAAAAGGUGAAGGGCAUAGGAUUUGAACCGAGUUGUCUCAUUUGUAAUAUUAAUACUAUUUUCCUUGUAUCAGGUUGUACUUUUAAUUGGGUUGUAAAACACAUUUAUCCUGUGAAAUAAUAAAAUUCCAAAUGUGCUCUUAAAAAAACAAAAGAGCUGAUAAAAAGAGGUGAAAGUCACCAUGCAGAUGUUACCAUGGCAUAAAAAGUAGGUAAAAAUUCAAUAACUUCUGAACAUCUAGGAAGAACUGAGCAUCAGGAUUAGGCUAAGAAUGAAAAAGACCCAUGUGAAAGUCAAUGAAAAAUCAGGGUCUAUUAAAUUUUGAGCACAGUUGUUGGAAAAUGAUCUCAGGGCCAAGACAAUGUUGUGUUUCUCAAACUUGGGGGCCUGUGAAUCACAGAGGAUAAAAUAGAGGCCUGAAUCCAUGGAAACAUUUAGGAAAGCCAUUCUGGACUCACAUGCCACAAGAAAUGCUCUGAAUUAAC